rnacentral:rRNA from 1 species
AACGAACGCUGGCGGCAUGCCUAACACAUGCAAGUCGAACGAGACCUUCGGGUCUAGUGGCGCACGGGUGCGUAACGCGUGGGAACCUGCCCUUAGGUUCGGAAUAACUCCCCGAAAGGGGUGCUAAUACCGGAUAAUGUCUUCGGACCAAAGAUUUAUCGCCUUUGGAUGGGCCCGCGUUGGAUUAGCUAGUUGGUAGGGUAAAAGCCUACCAAGGCGACGAUCCAUAGCUGGUCUGAGAGGAUGAUCAGCCACACUGGGACUGAGACACGGCCCAGACUCCUACGGGAGGCAGCAGUGGGGAAUAUUGGACAAUGGGCGAAAGCAUGAUCCAGCAAUGCCGCGUGAGUGAUGAAGGCCUUAGGGUUGUAAAGCUAUUUUACCCGGGAUGAUAAUGACAGUACCGGGAGAAUAAGCGCCGGCUAACUCCGUG